GUGAUGACUUGGAAAGAAAGCGUGACAUUCUUGCCAAGGAUCUUCAGGAGGUCGGGUUCGUUCCUGUCAUUCCCCAAGGAGCGUACUUCAUGAUGGCCGACUUUUCGCAUUUAAAUGUCAGUUUUGAUGACAGUAACAGUCCUGACACUACAGAGGAUGUCAAGUUCUGCAAAUGGAUGACUGUCAAUAAGAAGCUGUCUGCUAUCCCACCAAGUGUUUUCUACCACAAAGGUAACAAACAUUUAGGAGCCAAAUAUCUACGCUUCUGCUUUAUCAAGG